GUGGCUAUGGUGUAGCGGUAGCACAAAAGCUUGUGGAGCUUUUAGUCUGGGUUCAACUCCCAGUAGUCACCCA
rnacentral:tRNA from 3 species